CAGUCGCCACGGUAAUACGUAGGGUGCGAGCGUUAAUCGGAAUUACUGGGCGUAAAGCGUGCGCAGGCGGUUAUAUAAGACAGAUGUGAAAUCCCCGGGCUCAACCUGGGACCUGCAUUUGUGACUGUAUAGCUAGAGUACGGUAGAGGGGGAUGGAAUUCCGCGUGUAGCAGUGAAAUGCGUAGAGAUGUGGAGGAAUACCGAUGGCGAAGGCAGCCCCCUGGGCCAAUACUGACGCUCAUGCACGAAAGCGUGGGGAGCAAACAGGAUUAGAUACCCCGGUAGUCCCUGUCUCUUAUCC
rnacentral:rRNA from 1 species